rnacentral:rRNA from 2 species
GAUUAGCCAUGCAUGUCUAAGUACAUGCCGUAUUAAGGCGAAACCGCGAAUGGCUCAUUAAAUCAGUCAUGGUUCCUUGGAUCGUACCUUACUACUUGGAUAACUGUGGCAAUUCUAGAGCUAAUACAUGCAGCAGAGCUCCGACCUUCGGGGACGAGCGCUUUUAUUAGACCAAAACCAAUCGGACCUCGUGUCCGUCCUUUGUGGUGACUCUGUAUAACUUUGGGCUGAUCGCACGGGCCUGUCCCGGCGACGUAUCUUUCAAGUGUCUGCCUUAUCAACUUUCGAUGGUAGGUUACGCGCCUACCAUGGUCGUAACGGGUAACGGGGAAUCAGGGUUCGAUUCCGGAGAGGGAGCCUGAGAAACGGCUACCACAUCCAAGGAAGGCAGCAGGCGCGCAAAUUACCCACUCCCAGAACGGGGAGGUAGUGACGAAAAAUAACAAUACGGGACUCUUUUGAGACCCCGUAAUUGGAAUGAGUACACUCUAAAUCCUUUAACGAGGAUCCAUUGGAGGGUAAGUCUGGUGCCAGCAACCGCGGUAAUUCCAGCUCCAAUAGCGUAUAUUAAAGUUGUUGCGGUUAAAAAGCUCGUAGUUGGAUCUCAGUUCCAGACGGGUGGUCCGCCUACCGGUGGUUACUGCCUGUUCUGAACAGUCAGCCGGUUUCUCUUGAUGAUCUUCACCGGUUGUCUUGGGUGACCGGCAAGUUUACUUUGAAAAAAUUAGAGUGCUCAAAGCAGGCGUGACGCCUGAAUAAUGGUGCAUGGAAUAAUGGAAUAGGACCUCGGUUCUAUUUUGUUGGUUUUCGGAACACGAGGUAAUGAUUAAGAGGGACAGACGGGGGCAUUCGUAUUGCGACGCUAGAGGUGAAAUUCUUGGACCGUCGCAAGACGAACUACUGCGAAAGCAUUUGCCAAGAAUGUUUCCAUUAAUCAAGAACGAAAGUUAGAGGUUCGAAGGCGAUCAGAUACCGCCCUAGUUCUAACCAUAAACGAUGCCAGCCAGCGAUCC